rnacentral:rRNA from 1 species
UACGAAGGGGGCUAGCGUUGCUCGGAAUUACUGGGCGUAAAGCGCACGUAGGCGGCUUUCUAAGUCGGGGGUGAAAUCCUGGAGCUCAACUCCAGAACUGCCUUUGAUACUGGAGAGCUCGAGUCCGGAAGAGGUGAGUGGAACUGCGAGUGUAGAGGUGAAAUUCGUAGAUAUUCGCAAGAACACCAGUGGCGAAGGCGGCUCACUGGUCCGGUACUGACGCUGAGGUGCGAAAGCGUGGGGAGCAACAGGG